rnacentral:rRNA from 1 species
GAUGAACGCUGGCGGCAGGCCUAAUACAUGCAAGUCGAGCGAAGCGGGGACGGGGGAGUAACACGUAGAGAAACUCCUAUAAGACUGGGAUAACUUCGGGAAACCGGAGCUAAACCGGAAACUGAUAGAUGGAUCUGCGCUGCAUUAGCUAGUUGGUAAGGUAACGGCUUACCAAGGCAACGAUGCAUAGCCGACCUGAGAGGUGGAUCGGCCACACUGUAACUGAGACACGGCCCAGACUCCUACGGGAGGCAGCAGUAGGGAAUCUUCCGCAAUGGGCGCAAGCCUGACGGAGCCACGCCGCGUGAGUGAUGAAGGCCUUCGGAUCGUAAAACUCUGUUAUUAGGGAAGCGUUACCUAAUCAGAAAGCCACGGCUAACUACGUGCCAGCAGCCGCGGUAAUAC